UAUCUCUGUAGAGUCUGCAUAUCAAUAAGCGGAGGAAAAGAAACUAACAAGGAUUCCCUUAGUAACGGCGAGUGAAGCGGGAAGAGCUCAAAUUUGAAAUCUUCGAGGUUUUACCUUGACGAAUUGUAGUUUAAAGAAGUGUUUUCUGUUGGUGUUUUGGUAAAAGUUCUUUGGAAUAGGACAUCAUAGAGGGUGAGAAUCCCGUAUUUGACCAUUAUUUCCAGCUUUGUGAUACACUUUCAAAGAGUCGGAUUGUUUGGGAAUGCAGUCCAAAAUGGGUGGUAAAUUUCAUCUAAAGCUAAAUACUGGCGAGAGACCGAUAGCGAACAAGUACCGUGAGGGAAAGAUGAAAAGAAGCUUUGAAAAGAGAGUUAAACAGUACGUGAAAUUGUCAAAAGGGAAGCGUUUGACACCAGUGUUGUUUUCUCGAAAAUCAAUUAAAAAAAGUUGGAUUUUGUAUUGUUAAGACCUUAUCAGCUUACUGUACUCUUUUUUUGCUUUUUUUAAUGCACUUUUCGUUUAACAAGUCAACAUCAAUUUCUUUUGUUGUAAAAGAGUCAUUGGAAGGUGGCUUUCGCUUCGGUGAAAGUGUUUAUAGCCUUUGGCCUCUGCAAUCGGAGAGAUUGAGGUCUGCAGCGUAGAUCCUUCGGGGUUAGAUACAUUUGUGCUAAGUUAUAGCCUUUCAUAGACAACUUGUUGACUAUGAUCAGUCAUGUAGCUUACUCGCUUAUGCUAUUUUACCUACGCUUAGGAUGUUGAAGAUGUAGCACAUCAU
rnacentral:rRNA from 1 species